CCUACCGGAGGCAGCAGUCGAGAUCUCGCAUGAGCGCAAGCUGACCGAGCGACGCCGCGUGAGGACGAGGCUCGGAUGUAAACUCCUGUCGAGGGGAAUCAUGGGGCAUGAAGACGCCCCUCGAGAGCUCCAUGGAGGAAGCACGAGCUAAGUUCGUGCCAGCAGCCGCGGUAAGACGAACCGUGCGAACGUUAUUCGGAAUCAUUGGGCUUAAAGGGCGCGUAGGCGGGUCGACACGUCGGGACUGAAAUCCCCCGGCUCAACCGGGGAACGGGCCCCGAUACGAUCGACCUCGAGGUGAGGAGGGGGACCUGGAACGUCCGGUGGAGUGGUGAAAUGCGUUGAGAUCGGACGGAACGCCGAUGGCGAAAGCAAGGUCCUGGACUCAUUCUGACGCUGAGGCGCGAAAGCCAGGGGAGCGAACGGGAUUAGAUACCCCGGUAGUCCUGGCCGUAAACGAUGGGCACCUGGCCGCGGGCUCGCCGAUGGGCACGCCGCCGCAGCGAAAGCGCAAGUGCCCCGCCUGGGGAGUAUGGUCGCAAGGCUGAAACUCAAAGGAAUUGACGGGGGCUCACACAAGCGGUGGAGCAUGUGGCUUAAUUCGAGGCUACGCGCAGAACCUUAUCCCGGGCUUGACAUGCACGGAUUAGCCGGCGGAAACGUCGGCGAGGCCGCGAGGUACAACGUGCACAGGUGCUGCAUGGCUGUCGUCAGCUCGUGACGUGAGAUGUUGGGUUCAGUCCCAUAACGAGCGCAACCCCUGUGGUCUGUUGCCAGCGCGUCAUGGCGGGGACUCAGGCCAGACUGCCGGCGUCAAGCCGGAGGAAGGCGGGGAUGACGUCAAGUCCUCAUGGCCCUUAUGCCCGGGGCUGCACACGUGCUACAAUGGGGCGGACAGAGCGACGCUAAGCCGCGAGGCCACGCCAAUCGCAAAAACCGCCCCCCAGUUCGGAUUGCGGGCUGCAACCCGCCCGCAUGAAGCCGGAAUCGCUAGUAAUCGCGGAUCAGCACCGCCGCGGUGAAUACGUUCC
rnacentral:rRNA from 1 species